rnacentral:rRNA from 1 species
GACGAACGCUGGCGGCGUGCUUAACACAUGCAAGUCGAACGGAAAGGCCCUGCUUGUGUGGGGUGCUCGAGGGGCGAACGGGUGAGUAACACGUGAGUAACCUGCCCUUGACUGUGGGACAACUUCAGGAAACUGGGGCUAAUACCGGAGAGGAGCGCCUGCUGCAGGGGGGGGGUUGGAAAGUUUCGGCGGUUGGGGAUGGACUCCCGGCUUAUCAGCUUGUUGGUGGGGUAGUGGCUUACCAAGGGUUUGGCGGGUAGCCGGCCUGAGAGGGUGACCGGCCUCCUUGGGCCUGAGAUACGGCCCAGACUCCUACGGGAGGCAGCAGUGGGGAAUCUUGCCCAAUGGGCGGAAGCCUGAUGCAGCAACCCCGCGUGCGGGAUGACGGCCUUCGGGUUGUAAACCGCUUUCGCCUGUGACGAAGCGUGAGUGACGGUACUGGGUAAAGAAGCACCGGCUAACUACGUG